UACGUAUGGGGCAAGCGUUAUCCGGAUUUACUGGGUGUAAAGGGAGCGUAGGCGGCGGGGCAAGCCUGAUGUGAAAGCCCGGGGCUCAACCCCGGGACUGCAUUGGGAACUGCCCUGCUGGAGUGCCGGAGGGGCAGGCGGAAUUCCUAGUGUAGCGGUGAAAUGCGUAGAUAUUAGGUGGAACACCAGUGGCGAAGGCGGCCUGCUGGACGGUGACUGACGCUGAGGCUCGAAAGCGUGGGGAGCAAACAGG
rnacentral:rRNA from 1 species